UUGCAUCCCUCUUUUUUUUCGGUUUUUCUCUUUUUUUGUUUUGUUAAAAAUGUAUGACUUUAUAACUUUUAGACCGUGAGGCCAAACUUGGCAUGCCAUACCUUUUCGGAAAGCCCAAAGAGAGCUCUCCAAUUAAUGAGGAAAGAAAAUGGAAUUCUUCUAUUGUUUUUUUUUUCUACUCCAAAUUUUGACCUUAAUGUAUUUUUUCAGGCCUUUUUUGUGAUCUUUGCUAUAUUACGGGGUGAAAAUUAUAUGUUCGGACAUUCUUUUCGAAUAUUUUGCAUGUAUCAAAGCUCUAAUAAACAAGAUAGGGUAUUCCUACAUAGCUAGCGGGACCCACGACAAAUGGAUCAUAAAGUCUUAAAAAAGAAUAGAUACGAUUGCAUUGCAUGUAGUAACGGAUGCGAUCAUACCAGC
rnacentral:rRNA from 1 species